UCCGGCAUGGUUUAGCGGUUAGUAUAUCUGGCUCUUACCCAUAAAGCCCGGGUUCGAUUCCCGGUGCUGGAA